GUUUUGUUUACUGUGAGGUUUUGGUUGUGAAUUAGGGUUCCGAUCUCUUCUCUGUUCGUUAGCAAGAACAAGAUCGAGCCCUAAUCGGGAUAUUGGAGAGGUUUUUGUGGUGAUUCCGGCCACCACAGCUGGAUUGGAUUGAUUCCUCCACUAGAGUUGUGAUCAUCUCCGGUGAUAGAAGAAGCAGAGGACCUUGAUCUGGACGAGUUGCGUGACGUGGUGGUUCUGUUGAUUGCGGGAUAUAUCGAGGCGGGUA